CUGGAGUUCUACCUCCAGUAUCCUACCCACCAUGCGACAGGAAUGUGGUGUGAAGCGCUGGGAACAAUGUACCCUGUUAAGAGGAACCGUGAGGGGAAUUGGAACUGCGAGUGUCACGCGGUCGGGGG
rnacentral:ncRNA from 1 species